rnacentral:misc_RNA from 1 species
UUUUUCACCAUUCUUCUACCAACAAAUUUUCUUUGGAUGGUUGGUUUUUUUACAAGUUAGAAAUCUUCACCCAACAGCCUAAUGUAAGACCAUGGUCAUUAAUCUAAAUUUGUGCCACAUUCAAUAGAUUUUGAUCUAAAAUGGGAUGAAGAGAACAUCAUAAAUGUAUUUGGUACCUUUUCCAGUCUGCAUAGCAAUGGUACCUUUACCCUCAACCUGAACCAUCUAUCGAUUUCCUAGCAUCACUUUAGUUCUUGCUGAUCUGUCUAGAGAAGUAAGAAGACUGUCAUCUUUGGCCAUGUGACUUGUAUAGCUAACCAAGUGAGCUUUUCAGUUGCUUUACGUAACUAAGAAAGCAUAAGUAAAUUGUUGUGCACUAGAGAAGAAUGUAAACUAUAAAGAAACAAAGUAAACAUACAAAUAAUAAUAUUUACGUGGUUCACCUUCUCAACAUAAGGCUACAUCCAUAGGUAUGCCAUCUUCUACUAUCAAUAAU